CCUACGGGAGGCAGCAGUGGGGAAUAUUGCACAAUGGGGGCAACCCUGAUGCAGCGACGCCGCGUGAGGGAAGAAGGCAUUCGUGUUGUAAAGCUCUAUUAGCAGGGAAGAAAAUGACGGUAUCUGAGUUAAAAGCCCCAGCUAACUAUGUGCCCGCAGCCGCGGUAAUACGUAGGGGGCAAGCGUUAUCCGGAUUUACUGGGUGUAAAGGGAGCGUAGACGGCAGUGCAAGUCUGGAGUGAAAGGCGGGGGCUCAACCCCCGGACUGCUCUGGAAACUGUACGGCUGGAGUGCAGGAGAGGUAAGUGGAAUUCCUAGUGUAGCGGUGAAAUGCGUAGAUAUUAGGAGGAACACCAGUGGCGAAGGCGGAUUACUGGACUGUAACUGACGUUGAGGCGCGAAAGCGUGGGGAGCAAACAGGAUUAGAUACCCUUGUAGUC
rnacentral:rRNA from 1 species